rnacentral:rRNA from 1 species
UCAAGCGAACAAGGGCGCAGGGCGAAUGCCUUGGCACUGGGAGCCGAUGAAAGACGUGAUAAGCUGCGAUAAGCUUCGGGGAGCUGCAAAUAAGCAUUGAUCCGGAGAUCUCUGAAUGAGGAAACUCACCUGGGUUCAUACUCGGGUACAAUACACUGAAAUUUAAAAUAGGUGUAUUGAGGGAACCGCCUGAACUGAAACAUCUAAGUAGGGCGAGGAAGAGACAUCAAACGAGAUUCCGUAAGUAGUGGCGAGCGAACGCGGAAGAGGGCAAACCGAGAGUAGAAAUACUUUCGGGGUACGGACUGCUUUUAAGACUCAAUCUGUUAACCGAACGGCAUGGGAAGGCCGGUCAGAGAGUGUGAGAACCACGUAGGUGAAAACGGAGAGAGCUGCGCAGGAUCCAGAGUACGGCCAGACACGUGAAACCUGGUCGGAAUACGGGGGGACCACCCUCCAACCCUAAAUACUACCCAGUGACCGAUAGCGUAUAGUACUGUGAAGGAAAGGUGAAAAGCACCCCGGGAGGGGAGUGAAAAAGAACCUGAAACCCUGUGCCUACAAGCACCUAGAGCACGUCAAUGUGUGAUAGGGUACUUUUUGUAGAACGGUCCGGCGAGCGAUUGUAUGCAGCAAGGUUAAGGACUUAAGGUCUGGAGCCGAAGCGAAAGCGAGUUUGAAAAGGGCGUUAAGUUGCAUAUAAUGGGCCCGAAACCGGGUGACCUACCCAUGGUCAGGUUGAAGUGGAAGUAAAAUUCCAUGGAGGACCGAACCGACCUCCGUUGAAAAGGCGGCGGAUGAACUGUGGGUAGCGGAGAAAUUCCAAUCGAACCCGGAGAUAGCUGGUUCUCCCCGAAAUAGUUUUAGGACUAGCCUCAAGUUAGAUACCUGGAGGUAAAGCACUGAAUAGCCUAGCGGCCGAGAGGUUAGCGAAGCUUAUCAAACUCAGAAUGCCAGAGUAUUGAUGCUUGGGAGUCAGACAGUGUCAGAUAAAUGUCAUUGUCAAAAGGGAAACAGCCCAGAUCUACAGCUAAGGUCCCAAAGUCAGGUUAAGUGGAAAACGAUGUGAAGAUACGCAGACAACCAGGAUGUUGGCUCAGAAGCAGCCACUCAUUCAAAGAGUGCGUAAUAGCUCACUGGUCGAGCGUCUUUGCGCGGAGAAUUUAACGGGGCUAAACCUGACACCGAAGCUUAGGCAAUACAGCAAUGUAUUGGGUAGGGGAGCGUUGUAUACGCGGAGAAACAGUAGCGUAAGCGGCUGUGGAGUGUAUAGAAGUGAGAAUGCCGGAAUGAGUAGCGCGAAUGCAGUGAGAAUCUGCAUGGCCGAAAGCCUCAGGUUUCUGGAGGAAGGUUCGUCCGCUCCAGGUUAGUCGGGAGCUAAGGUGAGGCCUAACGGCGUAGCCGAUGCACAGACGGUAGAGAUUCCGUCACCACCAAAAGAGUUAAACACAGGGACACAUAUGAAGUCUCGGAGCCGGGUGUUGGUUCCGGUAGCGAUCGAGGGAAGUUAGUACCGAAGUCUGAGAUGGAAGAUGGCGAGAAAAGCUGUGUGUAUUUCUGCGGUGCCCGUACCGCAAACCGACACAGGUAGGUAGGAAGAAGAUUCUAAGGCCAACGGGAGAAGGGUUGUUAAGGAACUCGGCAAAUUGACCCCGUAACUUCGGGAGAAGGGGUGCUCCAGAGAUGGAGCCGCAGAGAAUCGGCCCAAGCAACUGUUUACCAAAAACACAGGUUUGUGCUAAAUCGAAAGAUGACGUAUACGAGCUGACGCCUGCCCGGUGCUGGAAGGUUAAGAGGAGAUGUGCAAGCAUUGAAUCGAAGCCCCAGUGAACGGCGGCCGUAACUAUAACGGUCCUAAGGUAGCGAAAUUCCUUGUCAGGUAAGUUCUGACCCGCAUGAAAGGCGUAAUGAUUUGGGCACUGUCUCAACAGCCCGCCCGGCGAAAUUGUAGUACCGGUGAAGAUGCCGGUUACCCGCGACAAGACGGAAAGACCCCAUGGAGCUUUACUGUAGCCUAAUAUUGGGUUUCGAUGUUGCAUGCACAGGAUAGAUGGGAC